UCUCUGGUUUUGUGCUGGGCUCAAUCCACUGGCAGCACGCAACUCAGCCACUGUGUCAACUUAUUGAAGAGACUGCUAUUAAAAGUAACACAGAAGCUUAUAUUUUUGAAAGCUUUGUACUGUAAUGUUGCUUAAAAUACACUGAAGUGUUCCUAUGCAGUGGCUGGGUGGGUGAAAAGUCAAGCUGAAAAGUUGAGAUGCCGUACAUAGCUGCUCCAUGCGGCCAUGGGACUCUUUCUGCUUAGUCAUUUUGUUGACGCAGUUUUGCUUCUGGAUUGGUGAAAGUUUCUUGGCUUACAUAAAGGCAGUGAGUGUGGGAACAUCAGUAGCUUGGUGUAAACUAAACACUGAAACUGGAAGCACAGUUUAUGGUACUGCCUUGGCUCAAGUUUAAGGCAGUGGUAACUUAGUUCUGCUUUAGUAAGAGCUAAACUGCUGAAGGAGUGCUGUGUUGUGUUGGUAGCUCCUGUAAGAGGGUAGGUAUAGGAUAUUAAAGGCUGUUUGGGACUUAAAGCUUUGUUAGAUUAUGGGCCUUUAGUCUUCUUCACCUCCCAAAUCAGGUAAUGGUUCAGGACUGGAAUUAAAGGAACUGAAUGUCUAAUUUAUAAGCAGCCAGAGGAUUCUGUACCCAGUAAGUUGGUGCUUGGCAGCUGCCCAGCUUUGCACUGUUUUGGCUGUCAGCCUCUGCCUGAGGUGCGGAGGGCUCUACCUGAAACUGCUGCUAGACUAAAUGCAAGAUUGUUGUUUUUCUCUGGGAAUAAAAAUCUCUACUGCAUUAAACUGUCAGAAACUCAGAAAAUAAUUUGCAAAUACUAAGCCAUAGAGUGUAAUAUACAAUAGAAGCAAGUAAAUUGCACUUAAUUAGGCAUGGGCAGGGUGGAAAUGUGUUAAUGUACUUUUUUCCGUGUAAAAAGUACAGCAUAUCUUUAGCUAAACAAGAAAUCUCAAAGAAAAUCAGGAUUGAAGAAGUAAGUGGAGGGAUCCAGUUCUUUAUAGGUAUCUGACUUCUCUGCUCUUCCUAGGAUUUGUAGGCUUUGUAGAGGAUCCUGCACCAAGAGCUUGUUGCACCUCUCCCUGCCUGGAGGAGGGAACUGAAUCCUUUACUUUACAAAGUAACAUCCACUAGGCAGAUUUUCAUAGCUGCUGUAACAGAAGAUUUUUGUCAAUGGCUGUCCCUUUCAUACAGUUUACAGAUUGUCUGCAUUACAAGAGUUGGCAUCCAAUGCUCUUAUUCUUUCUCACAAGAUCUCUUGCAAUGUAGUGCUGCAAGAUCUUAGGUAUGAGUCAGAGUGUAAGAGCUGGCCUUCAGUGGGAACAAAUACAUAAAAAAUGGUUCAAAGGACUUGAAGAUAAAAAAAGUUAUUGGAGGCUGAAACAGAUGUAAAAGGAAAUUGAAAUAGCACGGAUCAAGAAACAGAGAAGAAAAUGGUGUGUGUUGGACUCAAAAAUAGUGUGGUAUAUUUAGAUAGGGAGAAGUAUGCUGAUUUUUUUUUCAGUCAACUUCUGGUAGGCUUUUUACAUUCUUAUCAGUGGGAAGUGAUAACUGGGAAGCAAUAAGGAAGCUAAAUGUGAGCAGCUUCAGUGUGCACAGAACUCCGCAUAAACCCUUUUCUCCCUGUGGAACACAGAAAUGAGGGAACGUGUUUUGGAGGCUUAAAUUCAAGUUUGAAUGUAUUAAGGUGAGAUAUUCAAAUCUGAUAUCCGUACUCUUCUGGUUGACUUCUGUAGUUAUGCUGGUUAUUCUGUAUUACAAUGCUAAUAAAUAGCUAGAAGGAUGUCUGAAGUAUCCUGAACAGAGAUGGCUUUUCUGCACAAUUAAUACAAUAUUUUAAUCCUGUGUGAAAAAGGAGGUUGAUUCAACUACUGAUGUAGAGGAACUUUCAAUGUCUGAUGCUGGAGGAGUGUCUAGUAGGGGACUGGUGAAGGCCUUGCUCCGUGUGAGACAUUUGACUGGUUUCUCUGCCCCUUUAACCUGAAACUAAAUAGAACUGUUACUCAAACUCAUGCAGCUGUUUCCACAAUGUUUCAUAGAUGCCAGAGGCUGAAAACUUGUCUGCUUAGUGAGGUGUGGCCAUGCUGUAGUUCUUGGUUUUGAAGCUUGCAUCUUGCUUAAAGAGCCUGUGAUGCUGUCUUUUGCCUCAAGCAUUGUCUUGAGAAAGCAUGAUUUGGUUCAAUAACUAAGCCUUUGUCCUGCAACUUGGAGAGUGAAUGGUUGACCUCAUGUGUUGACUAAACCCCUGCUGAGGAGCUUUUAUGAAAACCCCUUCCAAUAUAUUUAUUACAGUUUUAGCAUUGAAUCACUUGGUGGAUGAAUUUAAGUCUGAAUUCUCAGUGGCCACACAAAGUCGUCCUUCCUGCUUUCUACCUCUUCAGGACCUUGGUCCUUCAUAUGAGCUGAGCACUUUAUUUUCCCUGUGUAAGCUUUUACCCUUCUGUAUAGGGCUUGAGUUGAUUCUUCUUGCAGUUUUUUAACUGUGCUUUAAAGGGUCAAGACCUUAACUGGCAAACAGUGACUGGGCAAACCAAUUUGGACUUAAAGGUAGCCUUUUACCAUGAAGGUAUGAGGUUCUUGCCAGGAGUUCUUCUGCGUAUACCUGAGGGCAUUUUAAGGAUCUUUGAACUUCAGUCUGUUGCAGUGCCUAGAAAUCGACAUGGAAUACAGCUAUUGGGUUUGCAAAGAGGGAAUAUGGAGACUAACUGUACUGUGGAAUAUAAUGAGGGCUGUACAAUCUAAAGUAAGUGCAGUAGAAAUUGUAAAGCAAAAUUGAAAAAAAUCCUAAUUUAAUCUGGAAAUUACUGACCACUUGAAGGAAUCACUUUUUCUUCCCUUCCCGUAUCCUAAAUAGCCAAGAUCCAUUAGGACUUUGUUUGUACUGUUGGAAAUGCUGGAUCAAGAUUUUUGAUUUGGCAUCAGUAUGGCAUUUGCAUUAGGUUUUGACCCAAAGGUGUUGAAGAAUAUUACACAGUUGAAUUUUAGGCAGAACUCAAGGGCUUAUUUCUGAAUCUUAUGCCUUUUCCUGAAUCAGGCUGGACACAGAAACUCUACAGUAGAGUCUACACCUAGGUCUGACUUCUGCAUAACUAUUUCCAGAUAGGCCUUCUAUCUGGCAGUAACUAUACGAAGUAGCCUGUAAACUUAGAAUCCUGUAUUGCUCACCACUAGUAGAUAAAGCUGUGAAAUAAAAUAAUAAGCUGUUACGCUGUUCAGGGUUUUUAUCUUCAGUGUUCUCUUCUAGUAGUUCAGAAUGUAGUAAAUCAUUAUCUCCAGAAUGCAUUGGUCUCAAAUGCUUUCAGAUUCUCAAAAAAGGGAAGUGGGAUGCUA